rnacentral:lncRNA from 1 species
UCGUCCAUUGAGUUAAUGGGUAUAACGAUAUAUAUUCUCAAGAGUUGAGAAUUUAAGAUAUAUAUCAUUAAUAAUUAAUUCAUAAAUUACUUUCAAUCGUAGAAUCAUCAUAGAGACGGUGCUUGAUCCGGAGAGAUUGGUGUACGAUUGCUUUCUUAGAGUAGAUGGGUCUUGAAUCUACGAUGUGAAGACACCAGAGCGA